CCAUUUCAGUAAUACGUAUAUUAAAAUUGUAACGAUGCAGAGAAGCGUUGUAUGACUCCGGUGAAACGAUGACACGCAAAAUCAUGAAGCAUUUCACAUUCUU